UUAAGCGACUAAGCGUACACGGUGGAUGCCCUGGCAGUCAGAGGCGAUGAAGGACGUGCUAAUCUGCGAUAAGCGUCGGUGAGGUGAUAUGAACCGUUAUAACCGGCGAUUUCCGAAUGGGGAAACCCAGUGUGUUUCGACACACUAUCAUUAACUGAAUCCAUAGGUUAAUGAGGCGAACCGGGGGAACUGAAACAUCUAAGUACCCCGAGGAAAAGAAAUCAACCGAGAUUCCCCCAGUAGCGGCGAGCGAACGGGGAGGAGCCCAGAGCCUGAAUCAGUGUGUGUGUUAGUGGAAGCGUCUGGAAAGGCGCGCGAUACAGGGUGACAGCCCCGUACACAAAAAUGCACAUAUUGUGAGCUCGAUGAGUAGGGCGGGACACGUGGUAUCCUGUCUGAAUAUGGGGGGACCAUCCUCCAAGGCUAAAUACUCCUGACUGACCGAUAGUGAACCAGUACCGUGAGGGAAAGGCGAAAAGAACCCCGGCGAGGGGAGUGAAAAAGAACCUGAAACCGUGUACGUACAAGCAGUGGGAGCCUCUUUAUGGGGUGACUGCGUACCUUUUGUAUAAUGGGUCAGCGACUUAUAUUCUGUAGCAAGGUUAACCGAAUAGGGGAGCCGAAGGGAAACCGAGUCUUAACUGGGCGUUAAGUUGCAGGGUAUAGACCCGAAACCCGGUGAUCUAGCCAUGGGCAGGUUGAAGGUUGGGUAACACUAACUGGAGGACCGAACCGACUAAUGUUGAAAAAUUAGCGGAUGACUUGUGGCUGGGGGUGAAAGGCCAAUCAAACCGGGAGAUAGCUGGUUCUCCCCGAAAGCUAUUUAGGUAGCGCCUCGUGAAUUCAUCUCCGGGGGUAGAGCACUGUUUCGGCAAGGGGGUCAUCCCGACUUACCAACCCGAUGCAAACUGCGAAUACCGGAGAAUGUUAUCACGGGAGACACACGGCGGGUGCUAACGUCCGUCGUGAAGAGGGAAACAACCCAGACCGCCAGCUAAGGUCCCAAAGUCAUGGUUAAGUGGGAAACGAUGUGGGAAGGCCCAGACAGCCAGGAUGUUGGCUUAGAAGCAGCCAUCAUUUAAAGAAAGCGUAAUAGCUCACUGGUCGAGUCGGCCUGCGCGGAAGAUGUAACGGGGCUAAACCAUGCACCGAAGCUGCGGCAGCGACACUAUGUGUUGUUGGGUAGGGGAGCGUUCUGUAAGCCUGUGAAGGUGGCCUGUGAGGGUUGCUGGAGGUAUCAGAAGUGCGAAUGCUGACAUAAGUAACGAUAAAGCGGGUGAAAAGCCCGCUCGCCGGAAGACCAAGGGUUCCUGUCCAACGUUAAUCGGGGCAGGGUGAGUCGACCCCUAAGGCGAGGCCGAAAGGCGUAGUCGAUGGGAAACAGGUUAAUAUUCCUGUACUUGGUGUUACUGCGAAGGGGGGACGGAGAAGGCUAUGUUGGCCGGGCGACGGUUGUCCCGGUUUAAGCGUGUAGGCUGGUUUUCCAGGCAAAUCCGGAAAACCAAGGCUGAGGCGUGAUGACGAGGCACUACGGUGCUGAAGCGACAAAUGCCCUGCUUCCAGGAAAAGCCUCUAAGCAUCAGGUAACAUCAAAUCGUACCCCAAACCGACACAGGUGGUCAGGUAGAGAAUACCAAGGCGCUUGAGAGAACUCGGGUGAAGGAACUAGGCAAAAUGGUGCCGUAACUUCGGGAGAAGGCACGCUGAUAUGUAGGUGAAGCGACUUGCUCGUGGAGCUGAAAUCAGUCGAAGAUACCAGCUGGCUGCAACUGUUUAUUAAAAACACAGCACUGUGCAAACACGAAAGUGGACGUAUACGGUGUGACGCCUGCCCGGUGCCGGAAGGUUAAUUGAUGGGGUUAGCGGUAACGCGAAGCUCUUGAUCGAAGCCCCGGUAAACGGCGGCCGUAACUAUAACGGUCCUAAGGUAGCGAAAUUCCUUGUCGGGUAAGUUCCGACCUGCACGAAUGGCGUAAUGAUGGCCAGGCUGUCUCCACCCGAGACUCAGUGAAAUUGAACUCGCUGUGAAGAUGCAGUGUACCCGCGGCAAGACGGAAAGACCCCGUGAACCUUUACUAUAGCUUGACACUGAACAUUGAGCCUUGAUGUGUAGGAUAGGUGGGAGGCUUUGAAGUGUGGACGCCAGUCUGCAUGGAGCCGACCUUGAAAUACCACCCUUUAAUGUUUGAUGUUCUAACGUUGGCCCGUAAUCCGGGUUGCGGACAGUGUCUGGUGGGUAGUUUGACUGGGGCGGUCUCCUCCUAAAGAGUAACGGAGGAGCACGAAGGUUGGCUAAUCCUGGUCGGACAUCAGGAGGUUAGUGCAAUGGCAUAAGCCAGCUUGACUGCGAGCGUGACGGCGCGAGCAGGUGCGAAAGCAGGUCAUAGUGAUCCGGUGGUUCUGAAUGGAAGGGCCAUCGCUCAACGGAUAAAAGGUACUCCGGGGAUAACAGGCUGAUACCGCCCAAGAGUUCAUAUCGACGGCGGUGUUUGGCACCUCGAUGUCGGCUCAUCACAUCCUGGGGCUGAAGUAGGUCCCAAGGGUAUGGCUGUUCGCCAUUUAAAGUGGUACGCGAGCUGGGUUUAGAACGUCGUGAGACAGUUCGGUCCCUAUCUGCCGUGGGCGCUGGAGAACUGAGGGGGGCUGCUCCUAGUACGAGAGGACCGGAGUGGACGCAUCACUGGUGUUCGGGUUGUCAUGCCAAUGGCACUGCCCGGUAGCUAAAUGCGGAAGAGAUAAGUGCUGAAAGCAUC
rnacentral:rRNA from 1 species